UACGAAGGGGGCUAGCGUUGUUCGGAAUUACUGGGCGUAAAGCGCACGUAGGCGGACUACUAAGUCAGGGGUGAAAUCCCGGGGCUCAACCCCGGAACUGCCUUUGAUACUGAUAGUCUCGAGUCCGGAAGAGGUGAGUGGAAUUCCGAGUGUAGAGGUGAAAUUCGUAGAUAUUGGGAAGAACACCGGUGGCGAAGGCGGCUCACUGGCUCAUAUCUGACGCUCAGGCGCGACAGCGUGGGGAUCAAACAGG
rnacentral:rRNA from 1 species